GACGAACGCUGGCGGCGUGCUUAACACAUGCAAGUCGAACGGAAAGGCCUGCUUUCCCUUGUGGAUUGCGGGUACUAGAGUGGCGAACGGGUGAGUAACACGUGAGUUAUCUGCUCCCAACUUUGGUAUAAGCCUGGGAAACUGGGGCUAAUUCCCGCUAGGACUGCAGGGUGGUGCCUGUGGUUGAAAACGAUUUUCUAGUGGUUGGGGAUGAGCGCGCGGUCUAUCAGCUUGUUGGUGGGGUAAUGGCCUACCAAUGCGGCGACGGGUAGCCGGUCUGGGGGGGUGGGCGGGAACGGGUGACCGGCGACACUGGGCAGGCGACUACGGGCGGACGCCGUGGGGAAUAUUGAGCGAUGAAUAGAGGCCUAAUGCAGCAAGGCCGAGUGAGCAAUGACGGGUGUCGGGUUGUAAACUCCUUUCGGCAGAGCGGAAGCCACCUGGUUGGAGGGGUGGUGACGGUAGUGGUAGAAGAAGCACCGGCUAACUACGUG
rnacentral:rRNA from 1 species